UAGAGUUUGAUCAUGGCUCAGGAUGAACGCUAGCGACAGGCCUAACACAUGCAAGUCGAGGGGCAUCGGGGCGAGGAGCAAUCCUUGCCGCCGGCGACCGGCGCACGGGUGAGUAACGCGUAUGCGACCUGCCCGUUGCAGGGGGAUAAUCGGGAGAAAUCCCGUCUAAUACCGCGUAAUGCCGCGGGGCUGCAUGGCCCUGCGGCCAAAGGGAGCGAUUCCGGCAACGGAUGGGCAUGCGUGACAUUAGCUAGUUGGCGGGGCAACGGCCCACCAAGGCGACGAUGUCUAGGGGUUCUGAGAGGAAGGUCCCCCACACUGGUACUGAGACACGGACCAGACUCCUACGGGAGGCAGCAGUGAGGAAUAUUGGUCAAUGGGCGCGAGCCUGAACCAGCCAAGUCGCGUGAGGGAUGACGGCCCUACGGGUUGUAAACCUCUUUUGUCGGGGAGCAAAUUCCGCCACGUGUGGCGGAGUCGAGAGUACCCGAAGAAAAAGCAUCGGCUAACUCCGUGCCAGCAGCCGCGGUAAUACGGAGGAUGCGAGCGUUAUCCGGAUUUAUUGGGUUUAAAGGGUGCGUAGGCGGACUGUCAAGUCAGCGGUAAAAUACGGGGGCUCAACCUCCGCCCGCCGUUGAAACUGACGGUCUUGAGUGGGCGAGAAGUAUGCGGAAUGCGUGGUGUAGCGGUGAAAUGCAUAGAUAUCACGCAGAACUCCGAUUGCGAAGGCAGCAUACCGGCGCCCAACUGACGCUGAAGCACGAAAGCGUGGGUAUCGAACAGGAUUAGAUACCCUGGUAGUCCACGCAGUAAACGAUGAAUACUAGCUGUCCGGGGCGAAUGAGCCCUGGGUGGCACAGCGAAAGCGUUAAGUAUUCCACCUGGGGAGUACGCCGGCAACGGUGGAACUCAAAGGAAUUGACGGGGGCCCGCACAAGCGGAGGAACAUGUGGUUUAAUUCGAUGAUACGCGAGGAACCUUACCCGGGCUCAAACGACACAGGAACGUACCUGAAAGGGUUCGGCUCUACGGAGCCUGUGUCGAGGUGCUGCAUGGUUGUCGUCAGCUCGUGCCGUGAGGUGUCGGCUUAAGUGCCAUAACGAGCGCAACCCCCAUCGACAGUUGCUAACAGGUCAGGCUGAGGACUCUGUCGAGACUGCCGGCGCAAGCUGCGAGGAAGGCGGGGAUGACGUCAAAUCAGCACGGCCCUUACGUCCGGGGCGACACACGUGUUACAAUGGCAGGUACAGCGGGAUGCCAUGGGGCGACCCAGAGCGGAACCCGAAAACCUGUCUCAGUUCGGAUUGGAGUCUGCAACCCGACUCCAUGAAGCUGGAUUCGCUAGUAAUCGCGCAUCAGCCACGGCGCGGUGAAUACGUUCCCGGGCCUUGUACACACCGCCCGUCAAGCCAUGGGAGCCGGGGGUGCCUGAAGGCCGUGACCGCGAGGAGCGGCCUAGGGUAAAACUGGUGACUGGGGCUAAGUCGUAACAAGGUAACCGUAA
rnacentral:rRNA from 1 species